rnacentral:rRNA from 1 species
UACAGAGGGUGCGAGCGUUGUCCGGAAUCACUGGGCGUAAAGGGCGCGUAGGUGGCGCCGCAAGUCCAUGGUGAAAGCUCGAUGCUCAACAUCGAGUCGGCCACGGAGACUGCGGGGCUCGAGCACUGUAGGGGCAGAUGGAAUUCCGGGUGUAGCGGUGGAAUGCGUAGAGAUCCGGAAGAACACCGGUGGCGAAGGCGGUCUGCUGGGCAGUUGCUGACACUGAGGCGCGACAGCGUGGGGAGCAAACGGG